UACGAAGGGUGCUAGCGUUGUUCGGAAUUACUGGGCGUAAAGCGCGCGUAGGCGGCUUUUCAAGUCAGGGGUGAAAUCCCACGGCUCAACCGUGGAAUUGCCUUUGAAACUGUGAAGCUAGAGUGUCGGAGGGGAUAGCGGAAUUGCUAAUGUAGAGGUGAAAUUCGUAGAUAUUCGCAAGAACACCAGUGGCGAAGGCGGCUCACUGGCCCGGUACUGACGCUCAGGCACGAAAGCGUGGGGAGCAAAAGGG
rnacentral:rRNA from 1 species